ACAGGAAGUCCUCAAGACACGAUGUCUGUACGGCUGCUCACCCUGCUGCGUGGGAAGCCCCAAAGUAUCUCAAACCACAGCCCUACUCCUGCAACCUCGGGGCUUUUUUAUCCUGCAAGUCAAUGAGCACCGUUCAGUAGGAUGAGGGAGGACGGGAUGGGGUAAAGGAUAAAGGAGGCAUGUACACGAGGCACGUACACGAGGCACCUGGGAAAACGCUAUUUCCAGAUAAGUAACCUUCCUUACACAUUUUUAACUCGCCCUGCUUUACUCUCCUUAGAAAAGCUGUGUGGCAGCCCAAGCUUUGUGCUGCAGCUGAGAGCUUGCUGGAUGAUGUAUCUGACUGUACCCAUCGUCCUUCCGCAGUGCAGCGGGGUGGGGAUUUUUUGGAAAAUAGGCCUGAAUUAGCUUCAAGUCUCUGAGCAUCAAUUUAUCCUGGGCCAGUGAUAACACUCGUCUUGUAAAAUCCUUUUUCCUAGGCUCACAGGACGUCGCUGGGAUCAGCUGCACUGAGCCGAGCACAGAACCACACACAGAACUGGAGGAGGGCAGGGGGAGGUAUCGCUGAAACACCCGGAGAGCCGGUUCGCUUAGCGCCGGCCCGGCGGGGGCUGAAGGCGGUGGGUGGCGGUCGCUGCCCCGGGACCCCGCGGCCGGCGGGGGGUGAGGGCCCGUUACCGCCGCGGGGGGGCGCGCCGAGCCCGCCGGAGCGGCCGGGGCGGGGGGCGGCGGGGCUCCCACCGCGGCGCGAGAAAAGAAGAAAAACUGAGAGGUAGGCACAAUUAUCAAACCACCAGCCUGGCACAGGCCGAGUUGGAAAGUUCUGAACUGAGGAGUGGGGGAGCUAAAAUCUUGCUGGUGUUGGGGGGAGAUUUUUCAUUCAGUUCGAGACAACUUUAUGGCACGUUAUAAUUCCUCCCUUUUGUGCCCUUUAUGAACAAGUGACUACAUCUCUCCUCAAAGCAGCUGAAAGUCCUUACGGAUAUCCCCCUUCCUGGCCAUGCACCACUUUGCUCAAAAUUGUUUACUUUAUAACUGCUUCACAAAUUCAAGAUAAAAAUCAGAGCAGUUAUUUUCAGUUGACUUUUACUGGAAUGGAUGGUGCGGCUACUGUUCCAGAAGGUCUGCAUGACUGAACAUUUGCUGCUUCUGGCAUUGGGUUGCCCCCACCCCAGGAUACAGAUAUUGUCCUAACAACACGCUGUUGCUUUGUUUGUGUGGCUGUUUGUGCAGGAAAGUUACAGACAUAGUACGAGUUGCUGGAAACCUGCCUGUUAUAGUUUGGGAAUGGGUGAAUAAGGACCAUAAACCAGCUCCACGACAUGGUCACAGGGCAAAAAAAAAAAAAAAAAAGUCCUGUCUGUCUGAGGUAAAAAAAGCAUGGUCCUGUGCUAUGGGUUUGCAGGAUUGCUCCACCAUCAGGAGGAGGGAAACCUGCAUCUGGCAGAUGAAACAAGCGCCCUAAGCCCUCAAGGCCUCUUACGGAGGAUUCAGGAACAGCAUCCACAGCUUUCCACUGGCCUCUGUCUCGUGACUAAGAAAUAACUCAAGACGGACGUACGCGGAUGACAUCUUAAUGAAGGGCUGUUUUGCCUGCAGAGGCCCAUGUCUGACUGUGCCAAGACAGAGGAAAACAGGACACAAAAUCAGACCAGCCAGCAGGUGCCUGGUGAUGCCAGUCUACCCUCGCAAAGGAGGAACAUGUCUGAGCACUGUGCAAAGAGCAACAGAGGGACAGAGAAAAGUAAAAAGA